AAAAUAUCAGGUGGAAGAAUUAUAGGUUCCUUCAAGAUUUUAAAAAGUUGUUGAGCUAAAAGAAAUGAUUAGACUUAUUCUUAUUGGGCUCAGAGAGCAGACAAGGAACAAGUGGAAAUUGCAAAGAAGCAGAUUUCAUCUUAUACCAUAAGUUUCCUAAUAUUAGAGCUUCCUGAAGUGGAAGUAGUAAUGAGUUCUCAGUCCUUAAAGUUCUUCAAGUAAAGGCUGGUAUUAAGCAUUAGAAGAGAAGAUUUUUUGGGGGGGCAUGAGUUGACCUAAAUGCCUUCAGAAGUUCCUUCCUACUCAGCAAUUCUGGAGAACAAUUUAAUAGUUUACUAAAUGGAGAGACUUACUGGGACCAAAUGGAUUAGUUUGGUCCAGGGCUGAAUGAGAUUAUCAUCACAAAGAAUCCAGCCCUGAAUGUCUGAUACAAGAUUCUUUUAUAAGGAUGUAGAUGGUUCUCUUCGAGACAAGAUCAUUGGAACUGGCAUCAGUCAUCUCAUUGUUGAAGAGAGUCACGUUCAUCAGAAUUGAUCAUCUUAUAAUAUGGAUGUUGCCAUGUACAAUGAUCUCUUGGUUCUGUUCACUUCACUCAGCAUCAGUUCCUGUAAAUCUCUCCAAGUCUCUCUGAAAUCAUCCUGUUGAUCAUUUCUUAUAGAACAAUAAUAUUCCAUAAUAUUCAUAUACCACAAUUUAUUCAGCCAUUCUCCAUCCAAUGGGCAUUCACUCAGUUUCCAGUUUCUGGCCAUUACAAAGAGGGCCGCCACAAACAUUCUUGCACAUGUGGGUCCCUUUCCCUCCUUUAAGAUCUCUUUGGGAUAUAAGCCCAGUAGUAACACUGCUGGAUCAAAGGGUAUGCACAAUUUGAUAACUUUUUGAGCAUAUUUCCAAUCGCUCUCCAGAAUGGCUGGAUGUAUUCACAAUUCCACCAACAAUGUAUCAGUGUUCCAGUUUUCCCAUAUUCCCUCCAACAUUCAUCCUUAUCUUUUCCUGUCAUCUUAGCUAUUCUGAGAAGUGUGAGCUGGUACCUCAGAAUUGUCUUAAUUUGUAUUUCUUUAAUCAAUAGUGACUUAGAGCGCCUUCUCUUAUGAUUAGAAAUAGUUUUAAUUUCUUCAUCUGAAAAUUGUCUGUUCAUAUCCUUCAACCAUUUAUCAACUAAAGAAUGGCUUGAAUUUUUAUAAAUUUGAGUCAGUUCUCUACAUAUAUUAAUGUAAAAAUGAUUUCCCAAUUUAUUGUUUCCCUUCUGAUCUUGUCUGCAUUGGUUUUGUUUGAAUGAAAACUUUUUAACUUAAUAUAAUCAGAAUUAGUUCCAGUUCUUCUUUGGACACAAAUUCCUCUCCACAGAUCUGAGAAGUUCCAUUGUUCUAUUUUAAGCACAGUGUUUUGUCUCCAUAAAAGUUAUCUUCAUUUCCGGGGGUGUGGGGGUGCUGUUGUGAUUCUUUGAAUCUUUGAUGCUAUAUUUUGCAUAUGUGAGGGAGAUGUGACUGCUGGUUACAAGAGAGAGACAAAGAGAGGAGAAAAAGAGAGAGAGAGAGAGACAUAGAGAGAGAGAGAGACAGAGACAUAGAGAAAGAGAGGAACACACAGAGACAGAGACAGACACAGAAAGAAACAGAGAGACAAAGACAGAGAAAGGAGCUAAAGAGAGAGAAGAUAUAAAUCUGGAAUAGAGAACAGAAAGCACCUAGGGCCAUAAUUAUAUGGAAAAAGCCAAAUAUCUUUUGAUUCCCAGGGUCAGCACCCUUCAGUGACUGCUAAGACUGGAUUACUCAAGUAAAAUCUUCUGGUUUGGCUGAGAUUUCUUUUCACUUCUAGAUUGAAGAUCUCCUUUAUUCUUGUGUACUCUAUUGCCCUCUAAACUAAUCUUUAUGAGUUCCCCAUUAUAUCCAUGAUUGAUUUUUGUGUUUUAAGAUUUAUGGUAGGGAAAGAAAGCUAAGUUGGCUGUUACUCUUUAAAUCUGGCUCAGAACUUCCCCCAGAGGAGACCAAGGAAAAUGGCUUUUAUCUUGAUCAAAAGAAUCAUAUCUCUAGAUUGCAAAUAUCAUGUCAGACAGAUAUAAUUCCAAGGUCAAUCUGAAGAUAUUGAGAGAAUGAAUGCUCUUCCAUAAGUAUAUUCCUAAUCCUAAAAAUUCCAAUCCACCCCAAAAUUUAAUGGGCUGUUAUGAAUGUAUUAAUACCUGUUACACGAUGGCUUCUCAGUCCUAUGUUACAUGGUAUGUUAUAUGAGUCAUGUAGUAAAAUGGAAAAAAGUUCAGAAUAUUAAGUGGAAGAUAUAGAUUUUAGUCAGGGAUGUGGUAGUAAGUGUUUAACAACUAGCUCUUUUUAAAAAAGAGAGAAUACACUUUUUUGUAUAAUCUGCAUUAUUAACAUUUUUCUCCAUCACUCUCUUAAGUCUGGACCAACUUUUGACAAAUUAUGGUGCAUUUCUUCAUAGCCCCCAACUAAGAAUAUUUUUUCAUUUAAAAAAAUCCUUGUUUAAAAUUUUUUUUACAUUUUUUAAUUAAAAAAAAAUUAUUGCAUUAAAAUGAAAAGACUUUUCUUAGCUCCCUUAGGGUUUAAAAACAGAGGCUGGCCGAAUUUGGCCCUCAGGCAAUCAACAAAACAAUAAAUCAUGGCCUGAUUUGUUGCUUUGCCUAUUUUCAAGGUAAUUUAAUAAUCCAAUCUGAGAGAUGGUUCAAGUUGAUUCCAGUACAUGUCUGAUCCUAGUCCCAACUCCACUAUUAAAAUGUAUUUAUAUCCCUUGCACUUGGCACAGCGUUCGGAGCAUCACAGAUGCUUAAUAGAUCCUUCGUAAUCAGUUGUUUAACUUGCUUUAUGAAUUUAGUCAUUCUUCCUUCCUCAAGUCAAUUUCCUCAUCUUCCCUUCUCUAAAAUGCAAGAGAUUUGGUGACAUUUCUCUCAUCCCUUCCAAAGAUUCCAUCUUAUGAUUCGAAAGCCUAGCAAUGAAUGAAUAUACAUUUGAAAUUUUGGUCUUUCAUUUCAUAGAAAGGGCCCAAUAUUAGUCAUAUACAGAUCCCUGAAAUAGAGGCACAGAAAAUAACCUAUGCUAACAAAUGGUCUAUGGUGGGAAGACAAAGCGAAUUCUGAUUCAUUAAUUUAUUAGAUGCUCUUUUCUGAGCUGACUUCCUAUUUUUAUUCAUCAUAUAAGUAUACACACACACACACACACACACACACACACACACACACACACACACACACUACCUGUCAUCAAAUCCUUAGCUAAAUUACUUAGCUGCAAAUUUAUGAAUUAUCUUUCCAUUGAGUUCAUAAAGUUCUGGGGCCAAUUGUUUGUUUGUUUAAAUAAAGAUUUCUACCAGGUGAUCAAAGCUGCUAGCACUGAAAAGGUUGUUUGCUGAGCCUGGAGCCUUAGUAAUAAAAACAAUAAAAAUAAUACCCACCCACUCUGCCAGGUGUAUAGAAUCUUCCUUCAUGGCUGCCCUGGCCCCUACAAUAAAGGAAGGACUGAGUAAGGGACUAUAUUUUACAAGUGUUUUUUAUUUGUUUGUUUUUUAAGAACCCCAGAGAACAGUACCGAACUCAAAGGAAAGAAGCAUUCGUGAAAUCUUUGAGGUCAGUUAGGAAGGCUCUUCCUAUGUGGUGGUCCUUACUCUGCUUUUGUAUAAAGUUCACCUCAAUUGUGGGGAAAUUAUCUGAAUAACUCCAAUAUUAUAGUUAGCCAUAUUUCCUUAAAAGUAGCUUUGAGAGGCUAUAGCAGGUUCCCUCCCCCUCCCUCGCCCCUUACCAUUUAUUAUUACUCUUUUUUUUUUAGGGGGAAGGAGGGUAUAUAUUCAUGAGAUUAUUAGUAUAAGGAAUUCUGGUGUGCAAACUCCCUCCAAUAUUGAGUAUACUGCAACUUGUUUCUACUUAGCAAGUUACCUGGGGCCAAAACUAUAACUAACACUUUUGGCACCCAGAGCAAGUAGCACAAAAAUGUGUCCUCAAAUCAAUUUUUGUAAUUUAUAAUGUGAAAAUAAUAUGAGAAAUAAUUAAGACAAAUUCAGUUGAGCUAGGAAAGGGAAUUAAUUAUAAUUGUAAUCCAGGUGCUUCCUAUUUGAACUAAUUAUUCUUGCUAAUUAGAUGUGUCAUAAGAGAAUUUUAGUAUUGCUGCCAUUUGCCUGAGACAAGAUCUGUAAUUGGAAGAAUUUUUCUGCAGCAUCUACCUUUAGCCCUCCUGCUGUCUGAUAAUUCUUGCUAUUUGCAAAAUUUCAACUUGAGAUAUAGCUCUUGUGUUUGCUGGUCAGUUUAUUAUUUUACCUGCUGUAGAUCUUUCCCUUCUGCUAUUGGUUAUUUGAUGUGUAGAUCCUUACCUUACCCUUUGCCUUUGGUAAAAAUCCCAAUUGUAUCUAUCUGGACUUGUCCUAUAUAAGAUUUUUGAAAAUGCUACUCAUGGCCUAUUGAUUUUGUGUGUCAUGGGACUGUGCUCUGAACUUAAAAUAAACUGAUUUUAAAAUGCCUCCCUGUGUUGAUAAGUAUAUUAACACCUAUCAAUGAAUCCUUCAAAAUAUUUGCUUAUAAAGUGCUAAU
ensembl:lncRNA